rnacentral:rRNA from 1 species
AUAGAAAGCUGCGGGCAGGCCUGACACAUGCAAGUCGAACGAGUGGCGGACGGGUGAGUAAUGUCUGGGAAACUGCCUGAUGGAGGGGGAUAACUACUGGAAACGGUAGCUAAUACCGCAUACCAUCAGAUGUGCCCAGAUGGGAUUAGCUUGUUGGUGGGGUAACGGCUCACCAAGGCGACGAUCCCUAUCUGGUCUGAGAGGAUGACCAGCCACACUGGAACUGAGACACGGUCCAGACUCCUACGGUAGGCAGCAGUGGGGAAUAUUGCACAAUGGGCGCAAGCCUGAUACAGCCAUGCCGCGUGUAUGAAGAAGGCCGUCGGGUUGUAAAGGACUUUCAGCGGGGAGGCGUUACCCGCAGAAGAAGCACCUGCUAACUCCGUGCCAGCAGCCGCGGUAAUUC